GUCUACAGUCAUACCACCCUGAACAUGCCAGAUCUCAUCUGAUCUCAGAAGCUAAGCAAGGUCAGGCCUGGUUAGUACUUGGAUGGGAGACUAAAUGGACAGUUUUCAAAAGAAGACA
rnacentral:rRNA from 1 species